UGUGGUUUGGAGAGUGUUAUGAAUCGCGUGUUUUUCCAAAGUAGCGGCACAGUCAGACUUUGCUCGACGACUGUCACGGCUUCAUCAUUCCCAGCUAACUCCAUCAUCAUCUUCAUCCUCAGAGUCUCAACAUGAGUGGAGAUCCGCACGCAAACCGCACCAGUGAACGCAGAAGCUCUUUUGAGAAGAAGCAUCGAGAGAAAGAACAAGAGCGGCUUAAGCACAAAGAAAAGCAAAAAGAAGAAAAGUUUCAUAGUUCUGAUGGGAAAUAUCGAGAUAAAGAGAACGGCUUUGUAAGCUCUCUGUCAAUUAAAGUGGAAGAGGACAAAGGUUAUCAUCACCCCAUCAGACAUUCGAGAGAGAGAGAGAGAGAGCGGGAUGAAGACGAG
rnacentral:lncRNA from 1 species